rnacentral:rRNA from 1 species
AGGAGCGAAAGCGUGGGGAGCGAACAGGAUUAGAUACCCUGGUAGUCCACGCCGUAAACGGUGGGCGCUAGAUGUGGGGACCCUUCCAUGGUUUCUGCGUCGCAGCUAACGCAUUAAGCGCCCCGCCUGGGGAGUACGGUCGCAAGACUAAAACUCAAAGGAAUUGACGGGGGCCCGCACAAGCAGCGGAGCAUGCGGCUUAAUUCGAUGCAACGCGAAGAACCUUACCUAGACUUGACAUAUACGGAAAACAUGCAGAGAUGUAUGGUCCUAACGGGCCGUUUACAGGUGGUGCAUGGUUGUCGUCAGCUCGUGUCGUGAGAUGUUGGGUUAAGUCCCGCAACGAGCGCAACCCUCGUUCUAUGUUGCCAGCACGUAAAGGUGGGGACUCAUAGGAGACUGCCGGGGUCAACUCGGAGGAAGGUGGGGAUGACGUCAAAUCAUCAUGCCCCUUAUGUCUAGGGCUGCACGCAUGCUACAAUGGCUGGUACAGAGGGCUGCGAUACCGCAAGGUGGAGCGAAUCCCAAAAAGCCAGUCUCAGUUCGGAUUGGGGUCUGCAACUCGACCCCAUGAAGUUGGAGUUGCUAGUAAUCGCAGAUCAGCAACGCUGCGGUGAUACGUUCCCGGGCCUUGUACACACCGCCCGUCACGUCACGA